CCUACGGGAGGCAGCAGUGGGGAAUUUUGGACAAUGGGCGCAAGCCUGAUCCAGCAAUGCCGCGUGCAGGAUGAAGGCCUUCGGGUUGUAAACUGCUUUUGUACGGAACGAAACGGUCUGCUCUAAUACAGUGGGCUAAUGACGGUACCGUAAGAAUAAGCACCGGCUAACUACGUGCCAGCAGCCGCGGUAAU
rnacentral:rRNA from 1 species